rnacentral:rRNA from 1 species
GACGAACGCUGGCGGCGUGCCUAAUACAUGCAAGUCGAGCGAGCGGAACUAACAGAUUUACUUCGGUAAUGACGUUAGGAAAGCGAGCGGCGGAUGGGUGAGUAACACGUGGGGAACCUGCCCCAUAGUCUGGGAUACCACUUGGAAACAGGUGCUAAUACCGGAUAAGAAAGCAGAUCGCAUGAUCAGCUUUUAAAAGGCGGCGUAAGCUGUCGCUAUGGGAUGGCCCCGCGGUGCAUUAGCUAGUUGGUAAGGUAAAGGCUUACCAAGGCGAUGAUGCAUAGCCGAGUUGAGAGGCUGAUCGGCCACAUUGGGACUGAGACACGGCCCAAACUCCUACGGGAGGCAGCAGUAGGGAAUCUUCCACAAUGGGCGCAAGUCUGAUGGAGCAACGCCGCGUGAGUGAAGAAGGUUUUCGGAUCGUAAAGCUCUGUUGUUGGUGAAGAAGGAUAGAGGUAGUAACUGGCCUUUAUUUGACGGUAAUCAACCAGAAAGUCACGGCUAACUACGUGCCAGCAGCCGCGGUAAUACGUAGGUGGCAAGCGUUGUCCGGAUUUAUUGGGCGUAAAGCGAGCGCAGGCGGAAGAAUAAGUCUGAUGUGAAAGCCUUCGGCUUAACCGAGGAACUGCAUCGGAAACUGUUUUUCUUGAGUGCAGAAGAGGAGAGUGGAACUCCAUGUGUAGCGGUGGAAUGCGUAGAUAUAUGGAAGAACACCAGUGGCGAAGGCGGCUCUCUGGUCUGCAACUGACGCUGAGGCUCGAAAGCAUGGGUAGCGAACAGGAUUAGAUACCCUGGUAGUCCAUGCCGUAAACGAUGAGUGCUAAGUGUUGGGAGGUUUCCGCCUCUCAGUGCUGCAGCUAACGCAUUAAGCACUCCGCCUGGGGAGUACGACCGCAAGGUUGAAACUCAAAGGAAUUGACGGGGGCCCGCACAAGCGGUGGAGCAUGUGGUUUAAUUCGAAGCAACGCGAAGAACCUUACCAGGUCUUGACAUCUAGUGCCAUUUGUAGAGAUACAAAGUUCCCUUCGGGGACGCUAAGACAGGUGGUGCAUGGCUGUCGUCAGCUCGUGUCGUGAGAUGUUGGGUUAAGUCCCGCAACGAGCGCAACCCUUGUUAUUAGUUGCCAGCAUUAAGUUGGGCACUCUAAUGAGACUGCCAGUGACAAACCGGAGGAAGGUGGGGAUGACGUCAAGUCAUCAUGCCCCUUAUGACCUGGGCUACACACGUGCUACAAUGGGCAGUACAACGAGAAGCGAGCCUGCGAAGGCAAGCGAAUCUCUGAAAGCUGUUCUCAGUUCGGACUGCAGUCUGCAACUCGACUGCACGAAGCUGGAAUCGCUAGUAAUCGCGGAUCAGCACGCCGCGGUGAAUACGUUCCCGGGCCU